AGGCGGCUAGUUUAAUGAAAACCCUUGAUUUCGGCUCAAGCACUUGUGGUUCGACUCCGCAGCCCCCUA
rnacentral:tRNA from 1 species